UACGGGGGGGGCAAGCGUUGUUCGGAAUUACUGGGCGUAAAGGGCUCGUAGGCGGCCAACUAAGUCGGAUGUGAAAUCCCCAGGCUUAACCUGGGAACUGCAUCCGAUACUGGAUGGCUUGAAUCCGGGAGAGGGAUGCAGAAUUCCAGGUGUAGCGGUGAAAUGCGUAGAUAUCUGGAGGAAUACCGGUGGCGAAGGCGGGCAUCGUGGAUCCCGGCAUUGGACGCAUGAUGGAGCGA
rnacentral:rRNA from 1 species